rnacentral:lncRNA from 1 species
UUCAAAUACUUUCCAAAACUAAAAUCAUCUUGCAUUCGCUUUCAGCUACAUAAAAUAGAACAAAUUGUCAUCUGAUGUAGAUUUNNNNNNNNNNCCCCCGCGGCGCCCCGCCGCCGCCCGCGCUCCGCCGCUCCGCAUCCUUCGGGCGCCGCUGCCGGAGACCAGGAGGAGGAGGAGGAGGAGGAGGAAGGCGUGCGGGGUGCGCUGCGGGACUGCCCCCUCGCUGCCGGCUUCACCGGGAGCACGGAGCACGGCGGCUGCUGGCAGCGCUCGGCUUCUCCCCGCCGACCACCAGCGCGGAGCUCCGCCACACGCAGCCCCUCACCACCGGGAGCCCCCUUCUCUCCCUCCCCGCCGGUCCUUAUAGGUGUGCGCCGGGCGGCUGCCGCCCCGUGUGGCCGCCUCGGCUGCCAGUCAGCCGGCAGCCAUUCGCGGGGCGGGAGGGAGAAGGAGGAGGAGGAGGAGGCGGCGCAGCGGAGAGGCGUCGAGGCAGCUCGCCUCACCUGCCGCCCGCUGGCCCGGCUCGGCUCGGGGCGGAGGCGGAGGAGCCGGAGCCGCCCGCCGGGAGAAGGCGGGGGGCGGCUCGGGGCGGCUCGGGGCGGGGGCUCCGCCGCGGGGAGGGUGGUGGCGACGCCUGGCGGCCGGGCGAGGAGCGGCCGCGGCUCCCCGGGGGGAGCGGCGGGGCUGAGGGGAGCAGGGGGCUCCCUCAGGUGCUGCCCCGUCCCCGCGUGUGGGGAUGCCGCUUGUGUCACCCAGCCCUGCUCGGGCACUGCCCUUCGUCCUCCUCCGCAGCGCUAAAUCCCGCUUCUGUCUUCAAAAUGCAGCCCGCAGGCCCCUGGUUUUCAGGGCUGACAUGAAGGGUGCUGGCUUUGAGCAGAGGCAGAGCUGGCUGAUCACCCCACUGUAUUCUUGCUGCCCCAAAAGUUAGUCCCUGGGAGCACCCGAAAGUAUUGAACGUCCAGUUAGGCCUUUCCAAAUAAACCAUCGGCUAUAGGGCUGGCAUGAUCAGCAGUACAGAUGUAGCACCAAAAUAAAUAAAUAAUAAACCCUGCUUAACUUUCCAUUUUCUUUGUCGCAAAGUUACUCACCUGCUUAACAUCUUUUACCUUAGGUGUUCGUGACAGGAGGCAGUUUGCAAAGGGUGAAUUUCAGAGGAGACUGUCCUCAACAAAACCUCACAAUUACAAUUAAUUCCCUUCUGGUUUAAUCUAAAAUUCCCUUUCGGAAUUGAAGAGUGCAGAUGAGAAGAGUAGUAAAAAGAUCCUUUUCUUUCCCCUCUCCCACACACACAUGUGCAUGCACAUCCUAUAAGGAGCAGAUUUCAGUCAUGCAGAAUAUAUGAUCUAAUUUUAAACCGCUGACAAGAUAUAUCUGCUCCUUAAAGCAUCAUCUUAUUUUAGAAUUAUUUGAAACUGUAGUCAUUCUAAUACAGCUAAAGGUAAAUUAAUUUUGUGGUCCGUGUUUUUGCAGUCGAUAGUCACUGUUAAAGAAUAAUUUACGUGUAAUGAACUUUCCCUCAAGUGAAUAGCCUAUGAGAUUAUUUAGAAACCACACGUGCUGAGCAGCUCAGAAACUGGUAUUUACAGUUUAGCACAGCACAGGGAGUCUGUGCUUCGGAGUCUGCACUGAACAAAUACCUGAAGAUGCAUCAUUUGCUGCGGGUAGGUGAGAAAUGGGGCUUUUGAAAGGAGCAGCUGUCAGGACUGAGCUAAGCUAACAUGGAGUCGUUUACUUGGUGAGGUAUCAGUGACAAAUAAAUAAACAAGCAUUUUUAUUUUUUUUUUAAUCGGUGUGCCUGUGCUGAUUCUCUUCACUGCCGCAGGCUGCUCUAAAGGUCAGCUGCCUGAUGGGAGUGCACUUCCCCUCCUGGAGCCUGACCAUUAACACCUACAGAAAUUGCACCUGCUAAACGGCCAGCGAUAAGUAUCCUUUUAAUGUACUUAACAUAGUAAGUUCCUUGUACUUCCCGAUCUCCUCACAGUCCUCCCAAACACCCUUCUCCAGUAGCACCCACCACUCCCACACCCCCUUUCCUUCACAAACACCCCCCCAGCAGCUCUUCUUCUCAGCACACAGGUUUGCAAGGAGACGUAUGGGGGCACGACUCCAGCUGCUGCCUGUUCCCUCCUCUCCUGGGGACAGCUGGAGGCAGAAAGAUUCAGCCUUCCUCUUCCACCGGGUUGCUGUUUGUGCUGCCCAUGUUCAUGAGGCACGGGGAGAAGAUGAGAGGUGGAGGGCCUUCAUGCCAAGGGUGUGAGGGCGGCUGUUCUGGUGCUGCAUCAGAAAGGGGUCAAAGAGCCUUUCUCAUCCCCCAGGGCCUCCUCCCACGUCCCUUCAGACCCACUCCCAAACAGCUCAUGUGUACAGCCACAUCUAAAAUGAGACACAAACAGUUUUUAAGCCACUGCAAGCAUGCAUCUACUUACAGCUUUGUAAAAACUGUGUUGCAGGACUCAAAGCCUACCCAGAUACAGGGCACGGGCAGGAUGGAAAGACAGCGUCCUCUUAGAUGAAGGAAAUGACCAAAUGUUUUAUUUACAUGUUUAUUUCACAUGUUGCAUGUAAAAAAAAAAAAUAGUUUUACAUUUUUUUACAUGUUUAAUUACUUGUUAGAAAGGAUUGGAAGAGAUAUAGGAAACUUCAAUCAUUGUAUUUUUAUUUUAGUAUUAAAACACAGUAAUGGCUCUGGCCUGUCAUUUGUAAUGUGUUGGUAGUGUUAGAAAUCUCUUCGGCUGUGACCAGUACAACACAAAACCUGACUGGGAGUCCCCAAGAUACACAAUUACUGUGCCUGAAAAAUGUUUGCUGUGCUUCUGUCUCAGUUCUGCCAGCAGAGCUGCCUCAGGCCGUCCACCAGUGGGGAAUCAAGAGGCAUCUGACCGCUGUCCUGCUCGUCUGAGUUGUUACAACUACCACGGCUGUUGCAAACAAAAUGCCAGUAUGUGAAGGGUCUCGAUUGAUUCUAUUAGCUAUUGAGCUAGGAGUCUACAUUUAGAUAUUGCAUGAGCUCAACCUGAAUCUAAUUACAGUGCAGAAAAAAUAGCAGUGCAAAAUGUUAGUGGUUUUUAAUAGACUACAGUAACUGUAACCUACUUUUUCCAAAUAUGGCCUAUACACAAGAUCUUGGUUUAUCUAACUAUUAGAAAUGCUAGAAGUGUUGAAAGUAUUGCAUUGUUUAAACAAAUC